rnacentral:rRNA from 1 species
AACGAACGCUGGCGGCGUGCCUAAUACAUGCAAGUCGAGCGAAUCACUGGGAGCUUGCUCCCGGUGGUUAGCGGCGGACGGGUGAGUAACACGUGGGCAACCUGCCUGUAAGACUGGGAUAACACCGGGAAACCGGUGCUAAUACCGGAUAAUCCUUUUCCUCUCAUGAGGAAAAGCUGAAAGUCGGUUUCGGCUGACACUUACAGAUGGGCCCGCGGCGCAUUAGCUAGUUGGUGAGGUAACGGCUCACCAAGGCGACGAUGCGUAGCCGACCUGAGAGGGUGAUCGGCCACACUGGGACUGAGACACGGCCCAGACUCCUACGGGAGGCAGCAGUAGGGAAUCUUCCACAAUGGACGAAAGUCUGAUGGAGCAACGCCGCGUGAGCGAUGAAGGCCUUCGGGUCGUAAAGCUCUGUUGUUAGGGAAGAACAAGUACCGGAGUAACUGCCGGUACCUUGACGGUACCUAACCAGAAAGCCACGGCUAACUACGUGCCAGCCGCCGCGGUAAUAC